rnacentral:rRNA from 1 species
UCCAGACUCCUACGGGAGGCAGCAGUGGGGGAUAUUGCACAAUGGGGGGAACCCUGAUGCAGCGACGCCGCGUGGGUGAAGGAGCGUUUCGGCGCGUAAAGCCCUAUCGGCAGGGAAGAAGGAGGACGGUACCUGACUAAGAAGCCCCGGCUAACUACGUGCCAGCAGCCGCGGUAAUACGUAGGGGGCAAGCGUUAUCCGGAUUUACUGGGUGUAAAGGGGGCGCAGACGGCAGCGCAAGCCAGGAGUGAAAGCCCGGGGCCCAACCCCGGGACUGCUCUUGGAACUGCGCGGCUGGAGUGCAGGAGGGGCAGGCGGAAUUCCUGGUGUAGCGGUGAAAUGCGUAGAUAUUAGGAGGAACACCAGUGGCGAAGGCGGCCUGCUGGACGACAACUGACGGUGAGGCGCGAAAGCGUGGGGAGCAAACAGGAUUAGAUACCCCAGUAGA